rnacentral:lncRNA from 1 species
AAACUAGUCACUAGAGGAAAAAAUGAAAAGAGAUUAUCAAGCAUGCCCCUUCAUUAAGUCAAGGUUGGUGUAACUCAACCAGCCACCAUGCAAUGGCCCGCCAUGAGAAAAUUUGUAAAUCAUAUUUAAAAUGGACUUAGACUUGUAAUAGAGCUAAUAAUGGGUUUAAUUUUUAUUUAAAUAAAAGAGACAAGCCAUCAUAAAAUAAGAUAAGCGAAUACCGUGGCCAUACACGACCUUAUUUUGCCCUUGCUUCUUUUUGGCAGAGCAAGACUUACGCAAGACCAAGGCACAACAAUGGCUUGCACGGAGUUAUGUAUUGACUUCAUGGGACUUCUCAUGGCGCUGGUGAUUGCUCUCACCCUCAUGAUCAUCUGCUCCUCCCCUAAGAGGCGCGUCGUGGUGCAUCGCUGGCCUUGACCUUUUUCUCUCCCCAGAAUAUCUCUGUCAAUCGCUACAGAUUUCUGACAAUCUCAAGUUUUGUCAUUUUGAGUUUGUGUUCAUAGGGUGAUUUUUCAUUUCUGUGGUUUCCUUACCCUUUGUGAUUUUAUCUGGUGUAAUUCAUAUAGCUGGAAGCAGUUAACUGGGGAUGUGCCAUCUUCAUUUCCCCUGCCUCUCAUAGCUAAAUAGAUAGAUACUCUCUGUUCAUACAAUUGAAAUGAAUAAAAUAGAAGCUACUUUUCAAUCAGCGAGAUACCCACUUUCAAGUGAUAUCUAAUUUACAUAUCAAUUAGUAAGAUAGGUGCACAGUUUUCUUUUUUUUCCUCACAUAUUUCGUGUGGUUGACUUCAACGAAUUUCAUUUAUGAGUAAGAUAUUGGAAUUACGGAUGAGAUUCCUCAAAGUUACCUUGAGUUUGAUCCGUGCGAGAAUAGUUGCAACUACUACGAUCACUUCCUACGUUAGGAUGGUAUUU